AAAGGGACACCAUUUUGGAGAGUUCACCAUGGCACGGCCUCUGUUUUUCCUGGCACUUCUCAGCUUCUGCUCAGGUAAGGGUAUGGAGGACUCACUCCAGAAGCCUAUUUCCACUAUAAUGAUUUUAUUAUUAAUACCCUGCCCAUCUGGCUGGGUUUUCCAAGUGACGCUCAGUGCUUGUCAUGGAGGCUGAGUGCCUCUUUGAUAGCUGAGAACAUGUAAAAUGUACCCAAUUCAUGCUUUCCCCCGUUUUUCUUGAUGACAAGGUGUCAGUUCACAGCCAACCUUGACUCAACCUGCCUCUGAGUCUGUCUCCUUGGGCCAAACAGCUAAACUCUCCUGCUCUAGAAAUGGUGGCAGUAAGUGGGAUGAAUUUCACUGGCUUCAGCAGAGACCCGGAGAGGCUCCUCUUUUCCUGUGCUAUGGAUCUAGCCGGAGAACAGGGAUCUCUGAUCGGUUCACUGGCUCCGCCUCUGGCAACAUGGGCUAUUUGAUGAUCUCCAACAUCCAGGCUGAAGAUGAGGGAGUUUAUCACUGUGCUGAUUGGGAGUACACUGGGAGUAACAAGCUCCACCAUGAUACAAUCUGAUGGGGAACUGAGACAAAAACCUUCCCUUUUCCUCCUCAAAGCUGAGAAUGAGCUAGCACUUUGGGGCUUAAUUUUGUUGAUGCCAGAGGAGCUUUUAACUAAAUAGCUAAAAAGCGUGGAAAGCCCAUUUGUCCUCAGUCACUUCUCAACCAAGAUGACCAAGGGCCUGGAACCCAAGCCUUAUGAGGAACAGUUGAAGGAGUUGGGUAUGUUUAGCAUGGAAAAGAGGAGACUUGUGGGGAGAUAUGAUAGCCAUCUUCAAAUAUCUCAAAGGCUGUCACAUGGAAGAGGGGACAAGCUUGUUUUCUCCUGCUCUGGAGGGUAGGACUCUAGAGGUUGUGGACUCUCUUCCUUGGAGGGUUUUAAGCAGAUGUUGGAUGGUCAUCUGUCAUGGAAGCUUUAGCUGAGAUUCUUGCAUUGAAGGGGGUUGGACUAGAUGGCCCUUUGGGAUGUUCCAGCUCUACAAUUGUACGAGUCUAUGAUUCUCAAGCGUCAUCUUUCAUUGUGUGUGUUUUUCAAGGUGUCAGUUCACAGCCAACCUUGACUCAACCUGCCUCUGUGUCUGUCUAUUUGGGCCAAACAGCUAAACUUUCCUGUUCAAGAAAAGGUGGUAGUAAGUGGGAUGGAUAUCACUGGUUUCAGCAGAGACCUGGAGAGGCUCCUCUUUUUCUGUGCUAUGGAUCUAGCCGGAGAACAGGGAUCCCUGAUCGCUUCACUUGCUCCAUCUCUGGCAACAUGAUGGCUAUUUGAUGAUCUCCAACAUCCAGGCUGAAGAUGAGGCUGUUUAUUACUGUUGUGACUGGGAGCCCAGCAUCAUUCAAGGGUUC